UUAGGCAUAUUAGUAAGCGGAGGAAAAGAAACUAACAAGGAUUCCCCGAGUAACGGCGAGCGAAAGGGGAAGAGCCCAGCGCUGAAUCCCCCGGUGCUGCAGUGCCGGCGGGAAAUGUAGCGUAUAGGAGGGUCGAAUCUCUCGGUGUGUCGCGGCCGGUCCAAAUCCCUCUUGAAGGGGGUCACGGUCCCGAGAGGGUGCCAGGCCUGUGGGACGGUCGCGGCCUCCGAGAAGACCUCUCCUGUGAGUCGGGUUGCUUGAGAGUGCAGCCCUAAGACAGGUGGUAAACUCCAUCUAAGGCUAAAUACAACCACGAGACCGAUAGUAAACAAGUACCGUGAGGGAAAGUUGAAAAGAACUUUGAAGAGAGAGUUCAAGAGUACGUGAAACCGUUCUGGGGUAAACGGGUGGAGCCCUAACGCUCGAACGAGGGGAUUCAGUAUCCAGUCCUGCCUACGCCACGGGGCGAGGGAAGUGCUCGGCGCCGCCUUCGGGCGGUCCCCGGCGACCCUCGUCUCGUUCUCGCGCUAGGUGGGGGGAGCGCACUUCCCCUCUAGUAGGACGCCGUGACCCGUUGGGUGUCCGCCUAAGGCCGGGGCGGGAGCCCGUAGCCCUCCGUGGCUGCGGACCCCCCGCGACCCGGCGGAACGCCCGACGGUUGUUCUUCACGGGUUCAUCUGCCCGCGAGCUUUCACGGCUCGCGCACGUUCCUCUGGCGAGCGUGCGUCGGGACCUCGCUUAGCGGACUCGUUCCGCGGCGAACCCGCCGCCGCUGUCUUGCCGGAGGGCUUCUCGUGCAGCAGGCAGUCCCGUCGACGGCGGAGAAAAAGGGUGGCCCACCCGGCCCGUCUUGAAACACGGACCAAGGAGUCUAACACGCACGCGAGUCGUCGGGCACCACAAAACCCGAGGGCGCAUUGAACGAAAAGGCAGGUCCUCGCGGCCAGCCGAGGGAUGAUGGGAGCCCCCUCGGGGGCUCCUCGCAAUCCCGGGGCGUCUCGUCCUACGCGCGCUCGUCGCGCGAAGGUGAGGCGCACCAUGAGCGUGCGCGUUGGUACCCGAAAGAUGGUGAACUAUGCCUGGCCAGGACGAAGUCAGGGGAAACCCUGAUGGAGGUCCGUAGCGAUUCUGACGUGCAAAUCGAUCGUCAGAGCUGGGUAUAGGGGCGAAAGACUAAUCGAACCAUCUAGUAGCUGGUUCCCUCCGAAGUUUCCCUCAGGAUAGCUGGCACUCGGAGAUGGAAUCCCAUCCGGUAAAGCGAAUGAUUAGAGGCCGUGGGAUCGAAACGAUUUCAACCUAUUCUCAAACUUUAAAUGGGUGGGAUCCGCGGCUUGCUUGAAAGUGAAGCCGCGGACCCGGAUCAGAGUGCCCAGUGGGCCACUUUUGGUAAGCAGAACUGGCGCUGUGGGAUGAACCAAACGCCGGGUUAAGGCGCCAAAAUCGACGCUCAUUCGACACCAUGAAAGGUGUUGGUUGCUUAAGACAGCAGGACGGUGGCCAUGGAAGUCGGAAUCCGCUAAGGAGUGUGUAACAACUCACCUGCCGAAGCAACUAGCCCUGAAAAUGGAUGGCGCUGAAGCGUCGUGCCUAUACCCGGCCGCCGGCGGCAGAAGGCGGCGUCUUUCGGGACGUCGCUGCGAAGCCCCGGUGAGUAGGAGGGUCGCGGCGGUGAGCGCAGAAGGGUCUGGGCGUGAGCCUGCCUGGAGCCACCGUCGGUGCAGAUCUUGGUGGUAGUAGCAAAUACUCCAGCGAGGGCCUGGAGGACUGAUGUGGAGAAGGGUUCCGUGUGAACAGCCGUUGCACACGGGUCAGUCGAUCCUAAGCCCUAGGCGAAAGCCGAUGCAGAUGGUCGUGGGAUGUCGCGAAUUUAAAAAAGUUCGCCUCGUCCGCCGGUCGCGGUUCAGCCGAGGCCUCUCUGAUCCAAAAUCCGCAGUGCAGACACCCGUUAAAAAGCUCACCCCGUCGACUAGCGAACCGCUUGCCACACGGUGCGCCGGCGACUCGGACUCUGGUUCGGCGUGCGAGACGAUCUCCCUGCUUCGGCAGAGAGCAAAGUCUUUGAACGCCUCCGCUUGUUCCGAUCGUCGCGCCGCACCCGAGGCCUCUUCGCGAAAGACGGGAGCGUAGACUAGGAGACUGUUCGCCACACGGUGCGCGGACGAUUCGCGGCGAGUUGAGCUGUGCGAGACGAUCUCCCUGCUUGAUUGCAGAGAGCAAAGUCUUUGAACGGCCUUCUCUUUCGCGUUCGUCGCUAACGCGCACACGCGGCGGCUGUCUGCGAAAAACGCGCGUGCAGUCUUUGAGACGUUCUUGGCUGCGGCCGUCGAGAGCUCCGAUGCCGAGUAGGCGAGUGCCCGCCACACGGUGCGCCGACGUUUCGGCGGGAUUCGGCGUGCGAGACGAUCUCCCUGUCUUCACCGACAGAGAGCAAAGUCUUUGAACGUCAUGUGAUCCCGUUUCGUUCGUCGUCACGCACACGCGGCGGCCUCGCCCAAAGGCGUCGGAUGUCUCUCGGCGUGCUAUGCGGACUGGAGAGUGCGAUAGGCGCGCGGCGCUAACGGCGGUCGCUGGCAAUGAGCUUUUCGCUUCUAGCACCCCGUCCGUCGGGCGAAAGGGAAUCCGGUUCCUAUUCCGGAACCCGGUUGCGGGACCGUUCUCUCGAUCCUCGUAUUGACGCGGUAACGCGAAAGACCCCAGAGAUGCCGUCUGGAGCCCCGGGAAGAGUUUUCUUUUCUGUUUGAGCGUUCGGGUUCCAUGGAAUCCUCUCGUAGGGAGAUAUGGAAUGGAGCGCGAAGAGCACCGCAGUUGCUGCGGUGUCCGGGGAGUCCCGUCGGCCCUUGAAAAUCUGGGUGAGGGUCACGUGGAGGCGCC
rnacentral:rRNA from 1 species